ACGAACGCUGGCGGCGUGCUUAACACAUGCAAGUCGAACGGAAAGGCCCUGCUUGCAGGGUACUCGAGUGGCGAACGGGUGAGUAACACGUGGGUGAUCUGCCCUGCACUUCGGGAUAAGCCUGGGAAACUGGGUCUAAUACCGGAUAGGAGCCAUUUUUAGUGUGAUGGUUGGAAAGUUUUUUCGGUGUAGGAUGAGCUCGCGGCCUAUCAGCUUGUUGGUGGGGUAAUGGCCUACCAAGGCGGCGACGGGUAGCCGGCCUGAGAGGGUGGACGGCCACAUUGGGACUGAGAUACGGCCCAGACUCCUACGGGAGGCAGCAGUGGGGAAUAUUGCACAAUGGGCGCAAGCCUGAUGCAGCGACGCCGCGUGGGGGAUGACGGCCUUCGGGUUGUAAACUCCGUUCGCUAGGGACGAAGCUUUUUGUGACGGUACCUAGAUAAGAAGCACCGGCUAACUACGUG
rnacentral:rRNA from 1 species